GCUGGGCCUGGUGGUGCAUGCCUGUAAUCCCAGCAGCUUGGGAGGCUGAGGCAGGAGGAUUGCAAGUUUGAAGCCAACCUCAGCAACAGUGGGGCGAUAAGCAACUCAGUGAGACCUUGUAUCUA
rnacentral:sRNA from 1 species